GUCCACGUUACCAUGGGAGCUGUGUGUCGGUGACAGCCUCCCUUCCUAGGCGUGGUAAAGCAACUUCUUGCCUUUAUUCAGAUGGUUUCUCGUGCUGUUGUCACAAGAGACCAGAAUGGAAGGAGAAACAUUU
rnacentral:snoRNA from 1 species